GAUGAACGCUGGCGGCGUGCCUAAUACAUGCAAGUCGAGCGAAAAGAUGCGGCGCUUGCUCCUUUGACGUUAGCGGAGGACGGGUGAGUAACACGUGGAUAACCUACUUAUCAGACUGGGAUCACUUCGGGACACCGGCGCUAAUCCCGGAUAAUAUCUUGAACCGCAUGGUUCAAUAGUGAAAGACGGCUUUGCUGUCACUUAUAGAUGCAUCUGGGCCGCAUUGGCUAGUUGGUACGUUCACGGCUUACCAAGGCAACGAUGCGUAGCCGACCUGCGAGGGGGGUCGGCGGCACUGGAGCUGAGACGCGGACAAGGGUCCUACGGGAGGCAGCAGUAGGGUAUCUGCCGCAGUGGUCGAAAGCCUUACAGAGCAGCGCCACGUGAGUUAUGAAGAUCUUCGGAGCGUAAAACUCUGUUAUGGGUUGAGAACAAAUGUGUAAUGAACUAUGCACUGCGUGACGGUACUUAGUCAGAAAGCCACGGCUAACUACGUG
rnacentral:rRNA from 1 species